rnacentral:rRNA from 1 species
AGUGAACGCUGGCGGUAGGCCUAACACAUGCAAGUCGAACGGCAGCACAGUAAGAGCUUGCCCUUACGGGUGGCGAGUGGCGGACGGGUGAGGAAUACAUCGGAAUCUACUUUUUCGUGGGGGAUAACGUAGGGAAACUUACGCUAAUACCGCAUACGACCUACGGGUGAAAGCAGGGGAUCUUCGGACCUUGCGCGAUUGAAUGAGCCGAUGUCGGAUUAGCUAGUUGGCGGGGUAAAGGCCCACCAAGGCGACGAUCCGUAGCUGGUCUGAGAGGAUGAUCAGCCACACUGGAACUGAGACACGGUCCAGACUCCUACGGGAGGCAGCAGUGGGGAAUAUUGGACAAUGGGCGCAGGCCUGAUCCAGCCAUACCGCGUGGGUGAAGAAGGCCUUCGGGUUGUAAAGCCCUUUUGUUGGGAAAGAAAAGCAGCAGGUUAAUACCCCGCUGUUCUGACGGUACCCAAAGAAUAAGCACCGGCUAACUUCGUG